rfam:Mus musculus chromosome 9, GRC primary reference assembly.
UCCCCGCCAUCCCAGUGUUCAGACUACCUGUUCAGGAGGCUGGGACAUGUACAGUAGUCUGCACAUUGGUUAGGCUGGGCU